rnacentral:lncRNA from 1 species
UCUGUAGAUCGUGAAAAGGUGAAAGCACAAUCAAUCGUUUCAGGCUUGUUAUAUUCCUCUCACUCUUUAACGUUUCUUUUUUUUCAGAUAUUUAUUUUUAAAUAUUUAUUUCAUCUUAUCUGCAGAAUAGUAUCGUCUUUACACGCGACUGAAGGAUAUUGCGUGAAGAAAUAUCACAAAUACCAGUUGCGAGUUAUGACUAAUGACUAUUUGGGAGUGAGGAAAUACUUUUAAUUUAUUGUAUAUUAGCUGUGUAAGGUCUAGUUGGACUGUAGAAAGUAGAAGCGGAUUUACGGCUGGAAUAAUUUGAUGAACGUUGAGUAAUACGAUGAUUCAUAGUGAAAAUAGUAUUUUCUUCCUCAUUUUCAUUGCAACUUUUACGAGAAACUGUAAAAAGUAUUCUUCUCAAGCCGUAGAAUUAUUUUUUGAAUUUUUAUUUCUUUAUUGCUGAUAUAUAUUCACACAGUCAAUUUCAUCUUGACAUUGACCACCUCCGGAUAGUGAAAUUUGGGUUGUAUUUGUAAAAGCGAGUUUAACGAAAGAGAAAUGAAAAAAAAAAAGUACUUAAUAUUGACCAAGAUGCGAUGAGUCAAGCUUUAAGUUGACUUCACCUGGCCAAGUGUCAAUGUGCUAAUCGUUAUCCGUCACGAGUCUAUUACACGCAUUGCGAAACUAAAGUUGAUAAAUAAUAAACAUGAAGGUAUACUUAGUGUAAGUGUAAAUUAUCCUCACCAGAUUAUAAUAUAGGCGAUGGCAAUCAACAGCGGCCCAUCCUCUUCCGGCUUCCGAAUUGUUCCAGACAUCCGGCUGAAAAUUUCGCUAACACCAGAAGCAAUCAAGCGUAAUCAUUUUAUGACAGCUGUUAAUUUUAUGAAUUAUGUAAAAAUAUAAGGACGAGUUAAUAAUUAAAUAUUGUAUAGCUAAGAAAUGGCAUCGAUGCGUAAGUCAACGAUUAACUUCUCUAGGAAUCAACGCCUUCUCAUCAGAAUACGAAUCUUUAGAAUAACAACGACAUAUCAUUA